rnacentral:lncRNA from 1 species
UCAAAAUAGAGAAGAAUCUCCCUGAACUGAACAAAUGUGUCACUUUUGAAUAAGGAUUCAUGAAAAGGCAGAAAAGGAGAAGAAAAAAGAAUAAAGGUGAGACGACAGCAUGCCUCAAGAAUAAUCAAUUAGUGGAUGACUUAACAUCAGUAAUUUCAGCACACUGUAAUAUGUUUCACACCCAUCCUACAACACAUUGCAUGGUGAGAACAGUUUCUGCAGAAUGAAUAAGUUUUUUUCUUACAAUAGGAAGAGUUCAGGAGAGGGUAGAUUAGUU